CUAUCAGGGAUGGCUAGACAGUAUUUGAUCCUGCCAUGAGGGCAGGGGACUGGACUCGAUGACCUCUUGAGGUCCCUUCCAGUCCUAGAAUCUAUGAAUCUAUGAAAAUGGCCCUCGAGGGUAGCAGUUGAGGAGCAGCAGCUCCUCAAAAGGUAUCUGGGAAAAAGGUCCUGGAAAAGUGCAGCCCCACUCUGAGGAGAUUUGGUAAAAUCCAGACACUGACAGAGGAAUCGGUGUUUCUGUGUCACAGCCGAUGGACCUGACCCAAAGCCCGUUGUUGCCAAAGGAAAGACUCUCACAGACAAGUGGGACUAAAUGGUAGAAUAAAUGGCCACAAUGGGGUGCUGCCAUUCACUGCAAAAUUAGAGAGUUGGAAAAAAUUGCAAAGUUUCAGUGUAAUUUAAACAAUAUUUGUGGUGGUGGCAGCUUAAGAUUGUUUCUUCACCGCGGGGAACAAUUCCAGGUUUUCUGUUCUGCAGCACGGCUCUUGCAGCCUGUCUGUGCUUUACUUUCUCUAUUUAUCUAAGUGUGGACAAUGAAAAAAAAAUCAGUUUUACAACUUUUAAUUCAUUUCACUUUCAAUGUCCUAGUGCUCCAACGUUUGGGUUUCAGACACUGCUCAGGAAGCUGGGUCUCAGAACUAUUUUCAGUCAGUUACAGAGCUUUUAAAAAAAAGUUAUAAGUGCUGGAAAUAGGGGCACUAGGGGUGCAGCACCUAGGGUUGCAAACUGUCAUGAAUAUAGGGGGAAGGAUAGCAACCUUUAUGUAUGCUUGGCAGCUGUACUGGAUUGCCUUACCUGUGAAGGGUUAAGCAGUUCAAAUAACCUAGUUGGCAUCUGACCAGAAGGACCAGUGAGAAAAGAAGAUACUUUGAAACUUGGGGCGGGGGGAAGGAUUUGUUCAUUGUUCUGUGGGUUGUUCCCUCUCCGGACGGAGGGAGAAACCAAGCUGGUACAAUAUCUCCUGAAAAAUAUACCUGGAAUAAGCCACCUAAAACCACAGAAACUGCGAGUAAGGAAAGGAAAUGUGUCACUCGAUAACUAAAUGAUGGAUGUUAGCAACAAGCUCCCUUCCGUGAAGGCCCUUUGCCCGGACCUCCUGGCCAGUGGUUCACCGCAUUGCAUUUCAUCGUGCCUCGGAAAGACUUACCUUCAUCACACCAUCCAUCGCUGUGCUGUGAGACACUUACCUUGAAGGAUCCUGACAUCUCCAGUGCCGUGCCUGUCCUGGGAGUGUGAGUACGCGAGUAAGCUUCAGCUCCGUUCCCGCUCUGCUGGGGCUGCUCCAUUCCCAGCAGCACGGACACAGCCAGGAAGGUGUCAGAAGCUUUUGGUGAGAGGGAUCAGAAGAGGCAGGGCCUUGCCAUCGAAGGGGAGGUCCUACAGGGAGGUCUGUGCCUCAUUGGACAGCCCGGACAAGAGGAGCCAGGACACCCUCCACAUGGACACCACAGAAGCCCUGGUUCUUGCUGCCAUGUCUGCCACAUCUGAAGCUGCCUGAAAGGCAGCUCUGGCAGCAGCGAUGCCCUCCUCCACCAGGGCCUUAUACUCCUUCCUAUCAUGUUCCUGGAGGGAGUCUGUAAACUUAGGCAUUGACCACCCCAAGUUAAAAUCAUAUCUGCCCAGCAGGGCUUGGUGGUUUGCCACCCUCAGCUGAAAGCUUGAAGAGGAAUAAAGCUUUCUGCCAA